AAAUCAUAAAACCACAAUUUCCCGAAAUGCCUAAAAAUUCAAAUACCGAAUGAGACUUAAUUGGGAAUACACCUAAAUGGGCGUCCCCACGCUGACAACAGAGAAAAAAUUUUGCGCUCGCUUCCUUCCUCGCAUCAUCACUGCGGGCUCUCAUCAUUAAGUCAGCAGAUUGUACCGUAUUAUGCAUUUCCAACCCAUUAAGAGUGGCCUGUUUAGCCCACAUAUCAGCUUCCUCAUUGCCAGCAAUGCCACAGUGUCCCGGGAUCCAGGCAAGGACAAUCUGUAAACCUAUUUCGUGACAUUUAUAGAGCAAUUGUUUUAUUUUUAGGAUAUAUGGGGAAACUAAUUUCAUUUUCGGGUGGUUGCCUACUACUGCCUGCAGACACCCAGACAGCUUUUAGCAUCUGAGAAGAUUAUGGCCUUGGGGAUUUUGUGCGAUUCAGCAUAUGCCACGGCUUCCAUAAGAGCAAAGGAUUCGCCAGUGAAGACAGAAGCCUGAGGUGGACAUUUAUAUGGAUACGAUACCUAGGGAUCCAUACCGCGGCUCCCACAUAGCUUCCAGGUCCCAAUUUUGAGGCAUCGGUAAAAAUGGAUGCCUCAUCGGAUAGGGCCUGUAAUCUUGGAGUGAGCGGGUGAUCUGCUAAGGAACAAGCCUUAAUCACAUACCGGUCAGACAAAAGUUGCCUACGAAUGAAGAGGGGCGGAUCCACACACUCAACCUGUAAAGCAUUCUUAGGGUUCGAGAAUAAAUGAGGCAUAAUCAAUUUGGCUACGGAUCAGUGCAUCAUCAAUGUUCUCCGCGCUCUUUCUGGAGUCUGGUGGGGUGCACACCUACUCCAUUUGUUUUGCUUUAUUAUGUACAGAAUAACCACUAUCCACCCCGGGACGUAUAUAAGGGAAAACAUGUUCGCGCUUGCUACGCUCGCGAUAAUUUGUGCUACAAAAACCCAAGAGCGCCGAAACUCAAACUCGCUCUACCCUAAUACGAGUGCACGGGCCGGCAAGCGGUGAUGUAGCCGAACCUAAAUGGCUAUAACUACCGACUACAGAUUUCGUUAAUGAUAGUUUUAUAAAACCGAAAUGAAAUUUGUAAAACACUCCUGCACUCAGACUGGUAUACGUAAACGAAAUCACGUUAAAUAAAACAAUCUUGAAUAUUCACUGUUGUAUUAUUCACAAUAAUACAACAUAAAACAUUCCUUUUCAAUCGUCCGUUAACUUUACUAACUGUCACCCGACUGGAUUCGUUCC